rnacentral:rRNA from 1 species
GCGGCGUGCCUAUACAUGCAGUCGAACGAACUUCCGUUAAUUGAUUAUGACGUACUUGUACUGAUUGAGAUUUUAACACGAAGUGAGUGGCGAACGGGUGAGUAACACGUGGGUAACCUGCCCAGAAGUAGGGGAUAACACCUGGAAACAGAUGCUAAUACCGUAUAACAGAGAAAACCGCAUGGUUUUCUUUUGAAAGAUGGCUCUGCUAUCACUUCUGGAUGGACCCGCGGCGUAUUAGCUAGUUGGUGAGGUAAAGGCUCACCAAGGCAGUGAUACGUAGCCGACCUGAGAGGGUAAUCGGCCACAUUGGGACUGAGACACGGCCCAGACUCCUACGGGAGGCAGCAGUAGGGAAUCUUCCACAAUGGACGCAAGUCUGAUGGAGCAACGCCGCGUGAGUGAAGAAGGGUUUCGGCUCGUAAAGCUCUGUUGUUAAAGAAGAACGUGGGUAAGAGUAACUGUUUACCCAGUGACGGUAUUUAACCAGAAAGCCACGGCUAACUACGUGCCAGCAGCCGCGGUAAUACGUAGGUGGCAAGCGUUAUCCGGAUUUAUUGGGCGUAAAGCGAGCGCAGGCGGUCUUUUAAGUCUAAUGUGAAAGCCUUCGGCUCAACCGAAGAAGUGCAUUGGAAACUGGGAGACUUGAGUGCAGAAGAGGACAGUGGAACUCCAUGUGUAGCGGUGAAAUGCGUAGAUAUAUGGAAGAACACCAGUGGCGAAGGCGGCUGUCUGGUCUGCAACUGACGCUGAGGCUCGAAAGCAUGGGUAGCGAACAGGAUUAGAUACCCUGGUAGUCCAUGCCGUAAACGAUGAUUACUAAGUGUUGGAGGGUUUCCGCCCUUCAGUGCUGCAGCUAACGCAUUAAGUAAUCCGCCUGGGGAGUACGACCGCAAGGUUGAAACUCAAAAGAAUUGACGGGGGCCCGCACAAGCGGUGGAGCAUGUGGUUUAAUUCGAAGCUACGCGAAGAACCUUACCAGGUCUUGACAUCUUCUGACAGUCUAAGAAGAUUAGAGGUUCCCUUCGGGGACAGAAUGACAGGUGGUGCAUGGUUGUCGUCAGCUCGUGUCCUGAGAAUGUUGGGGUUAAGUCCCGCAACGAGCGCAACCCUUAUUACUAGUUGCCAGCAUUAAGUUGGGCACUCUAAUGGAGACUGCCGGUGACAACCCGGAGGAAAGGGGGGGGACGAAAGUCAAAUCAUCAUGGCCCCUUAUGACCUGGGGGUACACACCGGCUCA